UACAGAGGGAGCAAGCGUUGUUCGGAAUUACUGGGCGUAAAGGGCGCGUAGGCGGUUCGAUAAGUCCCGUGUGAAAUCCCUCGGCUCAACUGAGGAAUUGCACGGGAAACUGACGGGCUUGAGUUCGGGAGAGGGAAGCGGAAUUCCGGGUGUAGCGGUGAAAUGCGUAGAUAUCCGGAGGAACACCGGUGGCGAAGGCGGCUUCCUGGACCGACACUGACGCUGAGGCGCGACAGCGUGGGGAGCAAACAGG
rnacentral:rRNA from 1 species